AUUGAACGCUGGAGGCAGGCCUAACACAUGCAAGUCGAACGAGUGGCGGACGGGUGAGUAAUGUCUGGGAAACAGCCUGAUGGAGGGGGAUAACUACUGGAAACGGUAGCUAAUACCGCAUACCAUCGGAUGUGCCCAGGUGUGCUUAGCUAGUAGGGGGGGUAAAGGCUCACCUAGGCGACGAGCCAUAGCUGGUCUGAGAGGAGGACCAGCCACACUGGAACUGGGACACGGUCCAGACUCCUACGUGAGGCAGCAGUGGUGAAGAUUGCACAAUGGGCGCAAGCCUGAUGCAGCCACGCAGCGGUGAUGAAGAAGGCCUUCGGGUUGUAAAGUACUUUCAGUGGGGAGGCGUUACCCGCAGAAGAAGCACCGGUUAACUCCGUGCCAGCAGCCGCGGUAAUUC
rnacentral:rRNA from 1 species